rnacentral:rRNA from 1 species
GACGAACGCUGGCGGCGUGCUUAACACAUGCAAGUCGAACGCGCCUGUCCUCUGGGUUUCUGGGGGGUGGGUGAGUGGCGAACGGGUGAGUAACACGUGAGUAACCUGCCCCCUUCUUCGGGAUAACGGUCUGAAAGGGCUGCUAAUACCGGGUAUUCACUGGUCUCCGCAUGGGGUCUGGUGGAAAGGUUUUUUUCUGGUGGGGGAUGGGCUCGCGGCCUAUCAGCUUGUUGGUGGGGUGAUGGCCCACCAAGGCUUUGACGGGUAGCCGGCCUGAGAGGGUGACCGGUCACAGUGGGACUGAGAUACGGCCCAGACUCCUACGGGAGGCAGCAGUGGGGAAUAUUGCACAAUGGGCGAAAGCCUGAUGCAGCGACGCCGCGUGAGGGAUGGAGGCCUUCGGGUUGUGAACCUCUUUCGCCUGUGGUCAAGCCGCGACGUGGGUCGUGGUGAGGGUAGUGGGUAAAGAAGCGCCGGCUAACUACGUG